rnacentral:rRNA from 1 species
UACGUAGGGUGCAAGCGUUGUCCGGAAUUAUCGGGCGUAAAGAGCUCGUAGGCGGUUCGUCGCGUCGGCUGUGAAAACCCGGAGCUCAACUCCGGGCCUGCAGUCGAUACGGGCGGACUAGAGUUCGGCAGGGGAGACUGGAAUUCCUGGUGUAGCGGUGAAAUGCGCAGAUAUCAGGAGGAACACCGGUGGCGAAGGCGGGUCUCUGGGCCGAUACUGACGCUGAGGAGCGAAAGCGUGGGGAGCGAACAGG